rnacentral:rRNA from 1 species
CAUAAUCAUUUGUCUUUUAAUUAAAGACUAGAACAAAAGAUUGAACAUUUUAAUUAAUAUAUCCAAACUAAUUAAUUAAAUUUAUUUUAAAUGUAAAAAAACAUUUAUUAAUUAGAAAGACGAUAAGACCCUAUUAAACUUAACUUAAGUUAAACUGGGGCAGUUAAUUAAUUAUCAUUUUAAUUUAAAUACAAAAACAAAUAGAUCCUAUAAAAUAGAUUAAAUGAUCAAGUUACUAUAGGGAUAACAGCGUAAUAUUAAUUAAAAGACCUUAUUAAAAUAAAAGAUUACGACCUCGAUGUUGAAUUAAUAACCUAUAUAGUAAACAAUAAAGGAAGUC